GACGAACGCUGGCGGCGUGCCUUAUACAUGCAAGUCGAACGAGGUCCAUGGGAGCUUGCUCCCGGAAGACCAAGUGGCGAACGGGUGAGUAUCACGUGAGAAACCUACCCUGGAGUGGGGAAUAACCCGAGGAAACUCGGACUAAUACCGCAUGCCUUCCAAGAGUCGCAUGGCUCAUGGAAGAAAGAAUUUCGCUCUAGGAGGGUCUCGCGACCUAUCAGCUAGUUGGUGGGGUAACGGCCUACCAAGGCAACGACGGGUAGCUGGUUUGAGAGAACGAUCAGCCACACUGGAACUGAGACACGGUCCAGACUCCUAUGGGAGGCUG
rnacentral:rRNA from 1 species